GUCAGUUUAAUUGAGAGCAAUUAUAUCAUUAGCAUUCUGAUAAGAAACUAUAUUCUUUUUUUCUUUAUCUCAAGAAUUGUUCAAUGGAAAUACUUGCUAAUGAAAUUACCAGAUGAGUUCAUUCUGGGACCAUCCAUAGAAGGCCAGUUAAUAGCAAAAAGGAAUCAACAAAAUCCUACGACUAUUAGAAGAUGAUAAGGUAUGCAUCAUUGAUGGGUGUGUGGUAAGGUGAAGAUUCUAGCUACUAAAGACUGAUGUGUCUUCCAAGAAAAGAGUUUCCUUCUCAUACUGUAGAUUUGAAUGGUGCACAAGUACCCCUUAAACUAUGACCUAAAUGUAAGAGGAGUGUACGACAAGGGUCGAGCUCUGGAAAGAUGCUUUGAAAUCACAUAUUAGAGUAUCAGCUUCUAUCAAAACAAUAUCACAUAUUAGAUUGAUAAUCUUUGCAAUUUGCAAUUGUCAUAAUUA